rnacentral:rRNA from 1 species
UACGUAGGGGGCAAGCGUUGUCCGGAUUUAUUGGGCGUAAAGAGCGUGUAGGCGGUUAGGUAGGUCCGUUGUGAAAACUCGAGGCUCAACCUCGAGACGCCGAUGGAAACCCCUUAACUAGAGUCCGGAAGAGGAGAGUGGAAUUCCUGGUGUAGCGGUGAAAUGCGCAGAUAUCAGGAAGAACACCCGUGGCUAAGGCGGCUCUCUAGUACGGUACUGACGCUGAGACGCGAAAGCGUGGGGAGCGAACAGG